rnacentral:snRNA from 1 species
AUUGCUUCUUGGCCUUUUGGCUAAGAUCAAGUGUAGAAAUAGAAAAAUCUGUAUUUGUGGAUGAGGGAGGAAAAAUUUGGGGUCAAAAAAAAAAAAGAUUAAAUGUAUUUUUUUUCUUUUUUGCAGUGCUAAGGAACUGAACCCAGGGCCUUAUACAUACGAGACAAGUGCUUUACCACUGAGCUACACGCCCAACACAGAUUUAAGGUACUUUUA